GGCUAACCUUAUGAGCGGUUGGCUGAUUAGAGUCCGGCAUACACGUUGGCUUGGUCCAGAAAUUGCGUUUGGCCAUGUCAAAACACUCCUGAUGGCUUAAUAUCUUUCCUUGAAACACAAGUAAAUUCCUAGCAUACCACAACGUCCAAAUCAAGUUAGCAAACACUUUAUGGACAUCCUUCUCAUUUGACUCUCUGAUCUUUUCAAACCAAUCCAGGAUAGAACAAAUCUCUUCGUUUGGCGUUGGUGGAAGGCGGAGAGGAGAAGCUGACCAAAAGAACCGAGUCCAGCUACAAUCUCUAAGAGCGUGUUCCACCGUUUCAAUGUGAUCGCCGCAUCGAGGACAGGAAGGAUCAACAGAAAUUGACCUUGAGAGUAGAGCUCUAGAAGUGGGCAACGCUUCGACCAGACAUUUCCACAGAAAGAGGCGGACUUUAGGGAUCACCUCCAGAUUCCAAAUCCAGUUAAACAGACGGUCAUUCCCUCCGGACGACGAUGGUUCAUUAGCUUCUCUGAGAUUAUAUGCAAGGGCGUAUCCCGACUUAACAGAGUAGGAGUUACAUUUCCCAGAAGGCCAAAAAGGUCGGUCAGCAGAGGUGAAGUUAGGUUGGAUAUGGUUCGAGAAUUUCCAUAACUCCUCAUUACUGAGAUACUGAGAAAGCUUCGCAGGAUCCCAUUGACCCGUGUCAAGGAGAAGCUCAGACACUCUUGUAUUAUUCCACUCCAAAUGAACACUAGCAGCCCGGAACUUACCAUCCCCCAUCGGAAUCCAAGCAUCAAUACCAAUACGGAUCCGAGCACCAUCUCCAAUACGCCAAGCCAAUCCCUCAAUCAACAGAUCACGUCCUACCAAUAAGCUUCUCCAAGCAAAAGAUGGAUUAUGAGCAUUAUUGGCUAGGAGUAUAUCCGACCUUGGGAAAUACCUCGCUUUAAGAGAACGCGCAAGCAUCGAAGAGUCAUUGAGCAAAAUCCUCCACACUUGUUUAGCAAGCAUAGCCUUGUUGAAAAGAUGGAGGUCCCUAAAACCGAGCCCUCCGUUAUUUUUGGGACCACAAAGCUUCCUCCAGCUUUUCCAAUGAAUACGACGUUCCUCACUCUUUUGACCCCAGAAAAAUCUUGCUGCCACACUAUUGAGUCGAUGGCAAAUCUGAUCCGGCAAAGCGAAACAGCUCAUCAGGUAAGAAGGGAUCGAUUGAAGCACAGACUUGAUGAGUAUUGUUUUUCCAGCCCCCGACAGAAACCGACGCUUCCAAUCUUUAGUUUUUUCCUUGUGCGAUCAACAAGCAUCUGAAAGAUCUCAGUCUUGGAACGACCUACAGUGCUUGGGAUACCAAGAUAGCUUCCAUGUCUUGUCUCACAUCUCACCCCCAACUGGUUAGCCAACUCAACCUUGAUGUCAUCUGUAAUACCUCCACUGAAAGUAACAGCGGAUUUGUCUAGAUUCACCUUCUGACCUGAAACUCCCUCAUAGUGGCCAAGAAUAUUUAGAACAGUUCGUAUCUCUUUUGUGCAGGCACGACCAAAGAUAAUACAAUCAUCAGCGAAAAGCAGAUGACUCACACUUGGCGCAUUCCGACAGAGGCGAGCACCAUGAAUAAGGUUCUGCGUUUCAGCUUGCCUGAGAAGACCUGAAAGAGCUUCAGCACAAAACAAGAAAAGAAACGGUGAAAGGGGGUCUCCUUGCCUCAGACCACGACUAGGAGUGAAAGUCUCUCCAGGUGAACCAUUAACAAGAA
rnacentral:lncRNA from 1 species